UCCACACCUCUUAUGAUAGAAUCCCCCAACAACAACUGUUUUUUAUUAGGCCUCACCAUAGUCUCCAAGCCUGUCUCCACAACACCACUACACUUGGUGCCUGAGCCUGUCUCCACAACACCACUACACUUGAUGCCUGAGCCUGUCUCCACAACACCACUACCCUCAGUGCCUGAGCCUGUCUCCACAACACCACUACCCUCAGUGCCUGAGCCUGUCUCCAUAACACCAUUACACUCUGAAAGUGCAGAAAAUUUAUUAUGUAG